CCUACGGGUGGCAGCAGUGGGGGAUAUUGCACAAUGGGGGGAACCCUGAUGCAGCGACGCCGCGUGGGUGAAGAAGCGCCUCGGCGCGUAAAGCCCUGUCAGCAGGGAAGAAAAUGACGGUACCUGAAGAAGAAGCCCCGACUAACUACGUGCCAGCAGCCGCGGUAAUACGUGGGGGGCAAGCGUUAUCCGGAUUUACUGGGUGAAAAGGGGGCGCAGAGGGCGAUGCAAGCCAGGAGUGAAAGCCCGGGCCCAACCCCGGGACUGCUCUUGGAACUGCGUGGCUGGAGUGCAGGAGGGGCAGGCGGAAUUCCUGGUGUAGCGGUGAAAUGCGUAGAUAUCAGGAGGAACACCGGUGGCGAAGGCGGCCUGCUGGACUGCAACUGACGUUGAGGCCCGAAAGCGUGGGGAGCAAACAGGAUUAGAUACCCUUGUAGUC
rnacentral:rRNA from 1 species